UAGGGAAUAUUGGACAAUGGGGGCACCCCUGAUCCAGCCAUGCCGCGUGAGUGAAGAAGGCCCUCGGGUUGUGAAGCUCUUUUGUCCGGAAAGAAAAGCAUUCGGUGAAUACCCGGAUGUUCUGACGGUACCGGAAGAAUAAGCACCGGCUAACUUCGUGCCAGCAGCCGCGGUAAUACGAAGGGUGCAAGCGUUACUCGGAAUUACUGGGCGUAAAGCGUGCGUAGGUGGUUGUUUAAGUCUGAUGUGAAAGCCCUGGGCUCAACCUGGGAAUGGCAUUGGAAACUGGGCAGCUAGAGUGCGGUAGAGGGUAGUGGAAUUCCCGGUGUAGCAGUGAAAUGCGUAGAGAUCGGGAGGAACAUCUGUGGCGAAGGCGACUGCCUGGACCAGCACUGACACUGAGGCACGAAAGCGUGGGGAGCAAACA
rnacentral:rRNA from 1 species